rnacentral:rRNA from 1 species
CCUACGAGCGGCAGCAGUGAGGAAUAUUGGUCAAUGGGCGGAAGCCUGAACCAGCCAAGUCGCGUGAGGGAAUAAGGCCCUACGGGUCGUAAACCUCUUUUGCAGGGGAGCAAGGGCGGGGACGUUUCCCGGCCCGGAGAGUACCCGGAGAAAAAGCAUCGGCUAACUCCGUGCCAGCAGACGCGGUAAUACGGAGGAUGCGAGCGUUAUCCGGAUUUAUUGGGUUUAAUGGGUGCGUAGGCGGGCUUUUAAGUCAGCGGUAAAAAUUCGGGGCUCAACCCCGUCCGGCCGUUGACAAGGGGGGCCGUGAGUGGGCGAGAAGAAGGCGGAAUGCGUGGUGUAGCGGUGAAAUGCAUAGAUAUCACGCAGAACCCCGAUUGCGAAGGCAGCCUUCCGGCGCCCUACUGACGCUGAGGCACGAAAGUGCGGGGAUCGAACAGGAUUAGAUACCCUUGUAGUC